UACAGAGGCCUCAAGCGUUAGGCGGAAUCACUGGGCUUAAAGCGUGUGUAGGCGGACUUCUAAGUACCUUGUGAAAUCCCACGGCUUAACUGUGGAACUGCUUGGUAUACUGGUUGUCUUGAGCCACUUAGGGGCUACCGGAACAAAUGGUGGAGCGGUGAAAUGCGUAGAUAUCAUUUGGAACGCCAAUGGUGAAAACAGGUAGCUGGGAGUGUGCUGACGCUGAGACACGAAAGCCAGGGGAGCGAACGGG
rnacentral:rRNA from 1 species